rnacentral:rRNA from 1 species
UCCAGACUCCUACGGGAGGCAGCAGUGGGGAAUAUUGGACAAUGGGGGAAACCCUGAUGCAGCAACGCCGCGUGGGUGAAGGAGCGUUUCGGCGCGUAAAGCCCUGUCAGCGGGGAAGAAGAAAGACGGUACCCGACCAAGAAGCCCCGGCUAACUACGUGCCAGCAGCCGCGGUAAUACGUAGGGGGCGAGCGUUAUCCGGAAUUACUGGGUGUAAAGGGAGCGUAGACGGCGAGGUAAGCCUGAAGUGGAAGCCCGCGGCCCAACCGCGGAACUGCUUUGGAAACUGUGCAGCUCGAGUGCAGGAGAGGUAAGCGGAAUUCCUAGUGUAGCGGUGAAAUGCGUAGAUAUUAGGAGGAACACCAGUGGCGAAGGCGGCUUACUGGACUGUAACUGACGUUGAGGCUCGAAAGCGUGGGGAGCAAACAGGAUUAGAUACCCUGGUAU